rnacentral:rRNA from 1 species
UACGGAGGGUGCAAGCGUCGUCCGGAUUUAUUGGGUUUAAAGGGUGCGUAGGCGGCCUUUUAAGUCAGUGGUGAAAGCCUCCAGCUCAACUGGAGAAAUGCCAUUGAUACUGAAAGGCUUGAGUACAGAUGAGGUAGGCGGAAUUGACAGUGUAGCGGUGAAAUGCAUAGAUAUUGUCAAGAACACCUAUUGCGAAGGCAGCUUACUAAGCUGUAACUGACGCUGAGGCACGAAAGUGUGGGGAUCAAACAGG